UCGGGGCAGGGUGAGUCGACCCCUAAGGCGAGGCCGAAAGGCGUAGUCGAUGGGAAACAGGUUAAUAUUCCUGUACUUGGUGUUACUGCGAAGGGGGGACGGAGAAGGCUAUGUUAGCCGGGCGACGGUUGUCCCGGUUUAAGCAUGUAGGCUGGUUAUCCAGGCAAAUCCGGAUAAUCAAGGCUGAGGUGUGAUGACGAGGCACUACGGUGCUGAAGUAACAAAUGCCCUGCUUCCAGGAAAAGCCUCUAAGCAUCAGGUAACAUCAAAUCGUACCCCAAACCGACACAGGUGGUCAGGUAGAGAAUA
rnacentral:rRNA from 1 species